CAAUAGCGUAUAUUAAAGUUGUUGCAGUUAAAAAGCUCGUAGUUGGAUUUCUGGUAGGAGUGACCGUGCCAGACUUGAUUGUCUGUGUAUUGUGUUGUCUCCAGCCAUCCUUGUGGAGAACUUUUCUUGCAUUAAUUUGUAGGGAUUGGGACCCGCAUCGUUUACUGUGAAAAAAUUAGGGUGUUUAAAGCAGGCAAUCGCUUGAAUACAUUAGCAUGGAAUAAUAAGAUAGGACUUUGGUACUAUUUUGUUGGUUUGCAUACCAAAUUAAUGAUCAACAGGAACAGUUUGAGGAUAUUCGUAUGAACAUGUCAGAGGUGAAAUUCUUGGAUCUUGAUCAGACGAACUACUGCGAAAGCAUUUAUCAAGGAUGUUUUCAUUAA
rnacentral:rRNA from 1 species